rnacentral:lncRNA from 11 species
AUAAACAAUUAGAAGUUCCAAAUGAUACAAGAAAAUUAAAACAUGUUCCCUAAGUAUCCGCGCCAUUGGCAUGGCAAGUACCCCUUGCUCUCCCUGUACGGAAAGUCUCUACCCACCAUGCCACGCUAUGCCGUGCUGUGCUGCGCUGUGCUACGGUUUGCCGUGCCAUCCUCAACCGCGUAGCGUGGCUAGUUGUUUCUUUUCUUUAUUCCUUUGUCGGAAAGUCGGUGGCGAGUCUCGUUUUUAAGAGAAGAGUAGAGGGGAGGAGGCAAAAGGAAAACGACAACCGCUCAGCAGGGGCUGAGGAAGGAAUGGUCGGGCUGGGGCUACAGAGAGGGGUACAGGGAGGGAGGAAGGGCCACGCAGCAAGGAGAAUAAAACUGAACUGUCUUCCUGUCGUCUGGAGAGAGGUACGAUUGCUCUUUGCGAAUGCGACACGCCGGCUUUUGCAUGGUAUCGCCCAUUCGAAAGCGUUGUCCGGCCUGGCGUCCGUUUCGUUUGCGUUAUUAUGUAAUGUUACGUGCGAAUAGCGUGUAUAUGGCACGCCGGUAAAAGGCUGUUGCACUAUUAAAGAAAAUUGCCCUCUCGCGGUGGUGAAUAGGAAGCGUCAUGCAUUCUUCGAUACGGUCAUCGAUCUGCUAUUCGAUCUAAGAACGUAAACUCUGCUAUGUAUAGUACUUUAGAAGUUUUUUUAAUAAUAAAAGAAUAAUAUAAAUUGAAGAGAAGAAGGAGAGGAUGAAGAGGAGAAAGGAAGAAAUAAGAGAGGAAAGAAGGUCCACGACCGGAUCUUAUAAUUACGCUAAUUAGGCAGUAACGUGUAAAAAGAGCGGCGCGAGUAUUUAUCACAAGGUAUCGUGGAAGGUAUACGGAGGUCGGCAAAGGAGGACGUCGUACGACAGAAUACGACAGGAAAGGCUAUAAUACAAUUUUGCCGCAAGCAUCAGAAGUAACAGCAGCAGCCACGGCGGUAAGCAAGCGAACAGCAACGCCGGUGCCGAGAAACAGACAACUGACAUCGGUUUCGCUAUACGUUCCUCGCAUCUGACAGAUAUCUAAUUUAAAGAAAAUCCAAAAGUUAAAAUUUUUUAAAGCUGAUUCUUAAAAGUUUAAGUAUGGAAUGUUAGAUAUGGAAUUUGUUUGUUGAAUAAUAAGUAUAUUUCAAAACAAUUAAAUAAUUAAUAAAUCAUUAA